rnacentral:misc_RNA from 1 species
AAGCUUUCUACCGCUUUAGCCCGGCGAAUAGCCUUAAUGGCAGUCUUCUCAGCUUCCCCUCGCUUGAUUGACUCAUCAAAUGCUUCUCGCUUAAACUUUUCAGCCUCCAUCAAAGCUUGCUCCAUUUGAUCAUAAAGCUGAUAAGUAUUACUUUCCUCCAAUGCAUCAAGAUUAUGUAAAUGACUAUCUUCCUCUGAUUGAGAUUCUUCACAUAAUUCUAACUCCAGUCCAGUCUCCUCAGUUCUCCUGUGCGUAUGAGGUAUCCCUUGCAAACAUACCAAACUUGACAGCUAAGAGGAACACGCUGCUGGACAUAUUUGGCCUUCCUGGACUUGAGAUCCAUCAUGUCCUCUGAAUAGUGUUUGUCAGCUGCUGCUCCCAUAACAAGCUUUUUGAUAUCAUGCUGGUAUACGAGCUCCACAAUCCCUUUCCCUAUAUCAUCCAUUUCAAUAAAUAGCUUUUCUGCUUGGACCUUCAAAAUCAAUCCAAGAAUGCUUAAAUGCUUCAGGUUUAAGGUUUGCAACAUGAAACAGUUCUAGAAAACAUCGGAGGCAAAUUUUGAAAGAUCAACAGAGAGGGCAUUGCUUUUGGGGAAAAUUUUCUGAAUUAGUGUUUUGCUUCAAUUAUUUCGGCCAAUUGACCAUGAUUGUAAAAGGAGACAUCAAAAGUGACAUUAGCGUAGCUUUAAUCUCUGACCCUAUUCUUGAAUACAAAAUCCCAUUUCACUUCUGACAAUGAAUUGGGUCUUGGCGAAUGGGGUCAACUCCUUCCAUAUUAGCAAACAGACAGAGGGCGUAAAUUGAAGAUUCAAAACUAAAAACAAUUCAGAAAAUAGGAGUCCUGAAUGUUAAUAAUGGAAAGCAAUAAGCAUUAAGCUCCAUAAUCUUGUAGUCUAGUGCUUGAUAAAAAAAAUAAAUAAAGAAGAAAAAAAAAAGAAGUAUCUUUGUUUAAUUUAGUGCAAAAGAGGCAGAUACUCUGAAACACAUUAGUAUUCAGCUGUUGCAACAAUUAAUAAUGAUAAUAAUAAUAAUAUAUGAGCAAGUGAUGGAAGAUGAAUUAUACUUCAACUUGGUUACACAAGAGAAGGUAAUACUCAAGGAUCCUGCGCACAAUCUUCCUUUCAAGUUCUUGGAAUUCUCUGAGUUCUUGUUGCUCAAGUCUGUCAGCAAGGAAUUUUCCGCCAACUGCAAACAGAAAGAAAAUAGAGGAGUCAGAGAACCCACAAAGUGACAAGAUCUGAAGGCUCGAGAAAGCAUCCAAUCGAGAAUUAUAGGUUUAAUCCACAGAAAUUUGAUCGUAUUGUUUUACCGCAGGGGAUCAUUUUUGAAGGCUGAUGAACAUGAAGAAUGCAAAUUUUCUUGCCAGGAAAAUUCUCUAAUGCCCAUAACAAAGUUAACUUGUGUUGUUCAACAUCUUUUCCCAGAGUCACAUAUACAGUAUCAUCUGCCCCUUGGGACACUGAUUCCCUUGAGGUCUCAGAAUCCGAAGUUGCCAUUAACAAGUCUCAAGUCAGAAAUACCCAGUCGAUGAAAUUGUGAG